GACGAACGCUGGCGGCGUGCCUAAUACAUGCAAGUAGAACGCUGAAGGAGGAGCUUGCUUCUCUGGAUGAGUUGCGAACGGGUGAGUAACGCGUAGGUAACCUGCCUGGUAGCGGGGGAUAACUAUUGGAAACGAUAGCUAAUACCGCAUAAGAGUAGAUGUUGCAUGACAUUUGCUUAAAAGGUGCAAUUGCAUCACUACCAGAUGGACCUGCGUUGUAUUAGCUAGUUGGUGGGGUAACGGCUCACCAAGGCGACGAUACAUAGCCGACCUGAGAGGGUGAUCGGCCACACUGGGACUGAGACACGGCCCAGACUCCUACGGGAGGCAGCAGGAGGGAAUCUUCGGCAAUGGACGGAAGUCUGACCGAGCAACGCCGCGUGAGUGAAGAAGGUUUUCGGAUCGUAAAGCUCUGUUGUAAGAGAAGAACGAGUGUGAGAGUGGAAAGUUCACACUGUGACGGUAUCUUACCAGAAAGGGACGGCUAACUACG
rnacentral:rRNA from 1 species